CGCAGCCCAUCAAAGCGCCACUGAGCCACUGGCCUUCCGUUCCCCUUCUUCCAUCUCCGGAGAAGGACAGGAAUAAUUGGGAAGAGAAAAAGAGAUAGAUGUGGGUUUGCUUUUUCUCCAAUAUCGCUUCCGCUGACGCUGGGCAUGGUGGUGGUAAUCCUGCGGUUCGUCUUGGGGCCGGACGAUCGGACGCUCCUGGUUCUUCUCCCUCUCCAUCAUCAUCCUCGUCCCCGCCGACAUCCCGACCGUUAGAUCUCUGUUCCCACUUCCUAUUCUUAUCCCUUGCUCUUUUUGCCCCCUUCUUUCUUAUUAAAUAAAUCUUGUGCUGAAUUUCUUCUUCGAGCAUAAAGGUUUCCAUCAAUCCCACCUCUUUUAGUUCUAGCAGUAUUUUAAUGUUUUAUUGGUAAGGUUAAUUCAUUUUGGUCGAUGAGCAAGAAUUAUUUGGAAUUUUUAUCUAAUUGAGCUCUUGUGUAGUAAUUUCUUUUCGGUUUUUUCCCCUCUUGUUUAGAUUUCGUAUGGAAGGGAAUACUUGUUGAAGGUCGAAUAUAGAUUAUACCUGUGUGGCUGUAUCUUAUUCUGGCAAAGAUUGUUGCAUCUGCUCCUUUGAUGUACGUGUGUAUUUGCACAUAUUGUUCCUGGUUGAAGAUCGGGAUGUCGAUGUUCUAUUCAUUAACUCCAAGAUAAAGAAGGUCUGUUGAACGUGGAGGAAAGGAGGAAAAGAGAGAUUAUUUUUUUUAUUAUAUUCAAAUGGGGUAGAGUAGUCCCCAUUAUAUACAAUAUUUAGUCUUUUUACAAGGAAACAGGACAACCCAUUGCCACCUUGAUUUUUCCUAAUUAAAGAAUCUAAUUAGGGAAUAUAUUAUAAUCCAGAGUCACCAGUAUCCCUAAUUAGAAUAUCUAAUUAGGGUAAUACAGCUCAUUUUCCAACAAGGUCAGUCAUCUUGCUUAUGAUAUUGUCAUAAGUUUUUAUGCAUGUUCUUUUCCUGUUUGAUUAUGUCAGAUGAUCUUAGACUAACUGUUGCAUGUUGAUCUUAUAGUCCUGCAAGAAUGGUUGCAUGUUAUGCACCAGCUCUUUCUUAUAGUUUUCUUAACCUCAUUCAUCUUGAAGGUGAUGCCAAAGAAAUUUUUGAAGAGAAUAAGGGCAUGUGGAGAUGAAAAGAAGUCCACCAAAAGCUCCAGAAGAGGAGAACCAGAAAUAUGGUAGCAGCAGAGAAACCAUUGCCAAAAAGUAUGCAAUUAUCAGGGAACAGCAAGGCAGGAGGUGCUCAUCCUCCAAAAUAUCAAAACAGAAUGACGUUUCACCAGCUUCAUUCUCUUUGCUUGAUGCAAAUAUCUCAGAAGAUCAUUCAACUGGCAGCAUGGCUGCCUUCUGGAUUUCAAAAUGAAGACUGGAUUUCAAAAUUUGAGAGCGGACGUACAGGCAAGGAAAUUUCUUCUUCCCUCAAUGAAGUUUUUCAGUGGCUGAAGCAGGAGCAUCAAGUAGGGGCUUGUGGUGGUGGUGAUGAUGAUAUGAAUUUAGUAACUGCAUUCAGAUAGUAUUGGGCUGCUUAUAAUAGGAAGCAAAAUUUAAAUCUGGUUUUACCAUAUCAGCAUUUUGUUUCAUGAAACCAAAACGGAAGUUGUACAGAAUUACAGAGUACUCAGAAAAGCUAACAAUUCCUCAUUUUUUCCGCCAAGGAAAUUUGGGUAGCAUAGGAGAUUGAUGAUACCAAUACCCAUAUUGUUGUAUUUUUUAUAGGGGCUGAGCACAUAACUCCGACAGCAGUGAAUAUACCUUUGUUCAUUUGGUUUCAUCUCGCUUACAAGGAAUCAGAGAAUUCACGGAAUGUUGUGUGGUUUGACAAAAGAAUCAAUAAAACUUUUCUUCAUGAAA